GAUGAACGCUGGCGGCGUGCCUAAUACAUGCAAGUAGAACGCUGAAGCUUGGUGCUUGCACCGAGCGGAUGAGUUGCGAACGGGUGAGUAACGCGUAGGUAACCUGCCUGGUAGCGGGGGAUAACUAUUGGAAACGAUAGCUAAUACCGCAUGACAACAGUUAUUGCAUGAUAACUGUUUAAAAGGGGCAAUUGCUCCACUACCAGAUGGACCUGCGUUGUAUUAGCUAGUUGGUGAGGUAACGGCUCACCAAGGCGACGAUACAUAGCCGACCUGAGAGGGUGAUCGGCCACACUGGGACUGAGACACGGCCCAGACUCCUACGGGAGGCAGCAGUAGGGAAUCUUCGGCAAUGGACGGAAGUCUGACCGAGCAACGCCGCGUGAGUGAAGAAGGUUUUCGGAUCGUAAAGCUCUGUUGUAAGAGAAGAACGAGUGUGAGAGUGGAAAGUUCACA
rnacentral:rRNA from 1 species